AAAGAUAGUAUUUUGGAGGACUACUUAAAAGUGCUUUUUUGUUAGUUUUCUUCAAAGCAAAGCUAUACGAUUGCAAUCACUUGUAACAGCUGAGACGGGGGCAUCUCGCUGAUUAUACCACGAAGGGGCAAGUUUAGCCAUGAAGCGUGAGGCUGACGGUGACAUGGGUGCCCCAUACAAGCGCUCUCGUCGUGGUGAUGAAGAAGUUAGAAUUCUUAUUCCCAG